rnacentral:ncRNA from 2 species
CAACAAAAAAGUGUAGCAAGUUUAGGGAAGUCAGUGAAAAUCUGACGCGGUCCCGCCACUGUGAAAGGGAGUCUGGUACAAAUUAGCCACUGGCAAUUACCGGGAAGGCGUACCAGAUGAUGAUCUUGAGCCAGGAGACCUGCUUGCUACUUGCCUUCACC